rnacentral:rRNA from 1 species
UGUGGGGCCCGCGGCCUAUCAGCUAGUUGGUGAGGUUACGGCUCACCAAGGCUUUGACGGGUAGCUGGUCUGAGAGGACGACCAGCCACACUGGGACUGAGACACGGCCCAGACACCUACGGGUGGCAGCAGUCGAGAAUUUUUGACAAUGGGGGAAACCCUGAUCGAGCGACGCCGCGUGGAGGAUGAAGGUCUUCGGAUUGUAAACUCCUGUCAUUGGGGAACAAGGUGCAUACGUUAACUGCGUGUGCAUUGAUAGUACCCGAAGAGGAAGAGACGGCUAACUCUGUGCCAGCAGCCGC